rnacentral:rRNA from 1 species
AGAGUUUGAUCAUGGCUCAGGAUGAACGCUGGUGGCGUGCUUUAUACAUGCAAGUCGAGCGGAGAUCAGCUUGAAGCAGAAGGUGAUUAAUUUACACUUUGUGUGAGUUAUGAACUUUCUGUGACGGUUGAUCUUAGCGGCGAACGGGUGAGUAACGCGUGGAUAAUCUGCCCUUGAGACCGGGAUAACAUCUCGAAAGGGGUGCUAAUACCGGAUAAGACCACGAUUCGCUCGCGAGAAGUGGUAAAAGGUGGCCUCUACGUGUAAGCUAUCACUCAGGGAUAAGCCCGCGUACCAUUAGCUUGUUGGUGAGGUAACGGCCCACCAAGGCUUCGAUGGGUAGCCGGCCUGAGAGGGUGACCGGCCACACUGGGACUGAGACACAGCCCAGACUCCUACGGGAGGCAGC